CCCUUCAGAGGGGGACAACAGUUGGAAACGACUGCUAAUACCGCAUACGAUCUAAUCUCGGCAUCGAGGAUGGAUGAAAGGUGGCCUCUACAUGUAAGCUAUCACUGAAGGAGGGGAUUGCGUCUGAUUAGCUAGUUGGAGGGGUAACGGCCCACCAAGGCGAUGAUCAGUAGCCGGUCUGAGAGGAUGAACGGCCACAUUGGGACUGAGACACGGCCCAG
rnacentral:rRNA from 1 species